GAUGAACGCUGGCGGCGUGCCUAAUACAUGCAAGUCGAGCGAACGGACGAGAAGCUUGCUUCUCUGAUGUUAGCGGCAGACGGGUGAGUAACACGUGGAUAACCUACCUAUAAGACUGGGAUAACUUCGGGAAACCGGAGCUAAUACCGGAUAAUAUUUUGAACCGCAUGGUUCAAAAGUGAAAGACGGUCUUGCUGUCACUUAUAGAUGGAUCCGCGCUGCAUUAGCUAGUUGGUAAGGUAACGGCUUACCAAGGCAACGAUGCAUAGCCGACCUGAGAGGGAGAUCGGACACACUGGAACUGAGACACGGUCCAGACUCCUACGGGAGGCAGCAGUAGGGAAUCUUACGCAAUGGGCGAAAGCCUGACGGAGCAACGCCGCGUAAGUGAUGAAGGUCUUAGGAUCGUAAAACUCUGUAAUUAGGGAAGAACAUAUGUGUAAGUAACUGUGCACAUCUUGACGGUACCUAAUCAGAAAGCCACGGCUAACUACGUG
rnacentral:rRNA from 1 species